GAUCACUGAGAGAGCAUGAGAGAGACUUGUUGUCCCUCAGGAGGCCGCUGUGGGGGGACGGACUCUGAUUUUAAUGAAGAGCCCAGAGGUGCAACAGACGAAUGAUACAGAAGAAAGAAAGAAGAAGAAAGUGUGUGUCAUCAGGAACUUACCAAGUCUCGAACGGGAAACGGCAGCACCCGGCGAGCCAAUCUUCUCUCCCGGCGUCCUCUGUGAGGACUUUAAUGGGAUCAGCUCCACCUGGAUAAACUGGCUGUGGAGCCCGUUGUGUCAAACAAACUGGCUAAAGACGUUUGUGAUUUUAUGGGAGCAGAUGUCAACCUGAACUCUUAAAAAACAGUGACGGUUUGUAUUUAGAUCAUUGCAUGAAGAGGAUGCAGGUUUUUUAUUGGACGCUGUGGUAGCUCUCCUUGUUGAGAGGAAGUACAGUAGUAAUAAUUUAAGCUCCGAAUAUCUUGUACGAUUACAUAUACUGAAGGAAAGGUCCUGUGAUAUUCAGUCAAUUAAACCCAUAAAAAGACCAAAACCAACAACUGUCAGUGUGUAUCCAAAGCCUGAUAUAU